AAUAAUCCAACCAAUCAAUGUUGUUGACAAAUCAACCAACCAAUCGGGAUUUAGGAAAGGUUUUUGAGCAAUUUUUCACAAUGCUUAAAAAUGAAAAUAUAUUUGAGCAACUUUUUAACCUACCGCAUUCAACCCCAUGGUGAAGAUUGGCUGCUCAAGAAAAGUUUUUCAAAGACUUUAUCUUCUUCUCAUAUUGAUGGAGUCUAUAGUCCACGAAAUUCAACUACUGUGUUCCUCGUCAAAGUUGAAUUCAACCCUCAAUCAAUCAAAUGAUACAAUUUUUAUUAAUAAAAAAACUACAGAAUCUUUGAAAAUUCAACGAAAACCAGUAAUCACUUUAACCAUCUCCACAUGACGUUGAAAGUCAAGUCAUCUCUUGCUUUUCUUCAUCACUUAUUGCCAUUGUAUAGACAAAUUUUGACGAUUGAAAGUUUGAACUGUUCUCUAUAUAUAGUUUUUCUAUUUGGGUUAGGUUUGUUUCUCUACAAGAAUCUUGUAUCCAAGUUACCUUUUCUUUUAUGGGCUGUGUUCGAAUUGUCCAAUUGUCGUUCAAGAAUCACCAUUGAUCUGCACGAGGUUGGUUUUUGGUUACUUAUUUAAUAUCAAUUUGAUGUUUGCAAUUUCAAUUUUUUCUGGGCCUUUUUUUUUUUUUUUUUUUUUU
rnacentral:lncRNA from 1 species